rnacentral:rRNA from 1 species
UACAGAGGUCUCAAGCGUUGUUCGGAUUCAUUGGGCGUAAAGGGUGUGUAGGUGGCGCCGUAAGUCGGGUGUGAAAUUUCGGAGCUUAACUCCGAAACUGCAUUCGAUACUGCGGUGCUUGAGGACUGGAGAGGAGACUGGAAUUCAUGGUGUAGCAGUGAAAUUCGUAGAUAUACGGAGGAAUACCGGUGGCGAAGGCGGCCUUCUGGACCAUUUCUGACGCUGAGACGCGAAAGCGUGGGGAGCAAACAGG